rnacentral:rRNA from 1 species
GACGGAGGGUGCUAGCGUUGUUCGGAAUUACUGGGCGUAAAGGGCGCGUAGGCGGCUGCUCAAGUCGGGUGUGAAAGCCCGGGGCUCAACCCCGGAACGGCACCCGAGACUGGGCGGCUCGAGACCGGGAGAGGUGGGUGGAAUACCCAGUGUAGAGGUGAAAUGCGUAGAGAUUGGGAAGAACACCCGUGGCGAAAGCGCUCUGCUGGACUGCAACUGACAUUGAGGGACGAAAGCUAGGGGAGCGAAUGGG